rnacentral:rRNA from 1 species
GUAGUCUGCAACUCGACUACAUGAAGCUGGAAUCGCUAGUAAUCGCGAAUCAGAAUGUCGCGGUGAAUACGUUCCCGGGCCUUGUACACACCGCCCGUCACACCAUGAGAGUCGAUAACACCCGAAGCCUGUGAGCUAACCUUUCAGGAGGCAGCAGUCGAAGGUGGGGUUGAUGAUUGGGGUGAAGUCGUAACAAGGUAUC